rnacentral:tRNA from 1 species
GAACUAAUAGUUUAAUUAGUAAAGACUUUUCCUAUUACGAAAAGGGAUGUUGGUUUGAUGCCGACUUAGUUCA